GGGCAUUUGGCACAGUGGUAGCGCGCACGCUUCGCAUUAAGUGCUUGCGUGAGGUCCAGAGUUCAAUCCUCUGAAUGUCCA